CUUAUGACCCGCACUUACUGGAAAUUCCUCCUUCAUGGGGAAUAAUUGCAAUCCCCCUUGUCCCUCUAAGAAGUUGGGGGACGCCGACCGCUCGGGGGUCACGUAACUAGUUAGCAUGCCAGAGUCUCGUUGGUUAUUGGAAUUAACCAGACAAAUCACUCCACCAACUAAGCCGCAGGCUCCACUCCUGGUGGUGCCCUUCCACCAAUUCCUUUAAGUUUCAGCUUUGCAACCGUACUCCCCCCGGAAC
rnacentral:lncRNA from 10 species